CCUACGGGGGGCAGCAGUGGGGAAUAUUGCACAAUGGGGGAAACCCUGAUGCAGCGACGCCGCGUGAGUGAAGAAGUAUUUCGGUAUGUAAAGCUCUAUCAGCAGGAACGAGACAAGACGGUACCUGACUAAGAAGCCCCGGCUAACUACGUGCCAGCAGCCGCGGUAAUACGUAGGGGGCAAGCGUUAUCCGGAAUCACUGGGUGGAAAGGGAGCGUAGACGGCUGAGCAAGCCUGAAGUGAAAGGCGGGGGCCCAACCCCCGGACUGCUUUGGGAACUGUACGGCUGGAGUGCAGGAGAGGUUAGUGGAAUUCCUAGGGUAGAGGUGGAAUGCGUAGAUAUUAGGAGGAACACCAGUGGCGAAGGCGGCUUACUGGACUGUAACUGACGUUGAGGCUCGAAAGCGUGGGGAGCAAACAGGAUUAGAUACCCCAGUAGUC
rnacentral:rRNA from 1 species